rnacentral:misc_RNA from 1 species
GUAUUUUGAAUUGUUUAUUCAUAAUAUUUUUCAGACAAAGAGUUAAAAAAUAAAGGUUGAUGUUUGGUCGAUCUCCAUGAAGAAGAUCGACUGACAUUGCACACAAGGUGGAUAUGGAUUUAAAAAGUGCCAUAGAACACUUAUUAUGAAUGAUCCUUCCGCAGGUUCACCUACGGAAA